AAGAACAAAGCAAGAAUCCCUUAUUCACAGAUCCUUCUCCUAGAGCUUUAAUAUUUGAUGCACAGAGGGACUUUCAUUUCCACAAGUGUUGCAGCAGGGACCAGAUGAUGGAAGUCGUGUAAUUCUUUGUGACACUUUCCCUAUCAGGGCUUACGAUGAAGAGGGUACCAACUGGGAAAUAGAUGUGCUUCUAGAAAGUGAUUUAAAUUUGUAUGAAGCCAGAUAAUUCAAGCAAUUUUUUCUUUGUAUAAUAUUUUUUUUACAGUAAAAGAGAUUUUUUCAAUGAAAA